GGGCCCCACCCCAACCACCCGCAGCCCACCAGCCUUAUCCACCGGAUUCGACCCCCACGAGGCCACGACUUGUCUCUCUCGCAUCUCUCUCUCGUAUCCAUCUGCCCCACAUCGAUCCAGAGCAACUCCAUUGCCGGGCUUCGAUCUCGCCGGCUGCCGCCGCUCCGGCCACCGCCCACCGGCCGUGUUCCUGCCCCUCUCUUCUCCCUUCCCGGUCGCGCCACCGGCCGCCACUGCUCGGGUCACCAUCCGCCUCUGCCGCUCGGGCCGCCGGCCGCCGCCGCUCGGGCCGCCGGCCGCCGCGGCCACCAUAACCACUCGAGCCAUCGGCCGCCUCCCGCGCCACGGACCGCCACCGCCACUCAAGCCAUCAACCGGCUCGGGCGCUCGAGCCACCGGCCGCCACCGCCGCUCGGACCACCGGUCGCCGCUCGCGCCACCGGCUGUCGCAGGGAGCAUCAACGGACGCGAAGGGCUGCUGCCGUUCACCCCCAACUGGUGCAGCACACCGAGUGGCUCCAUGGCCCGUGCGGCUGGUGAGGGGGGCUGACCCGCGCCUCAUAGGAAGAGAAGGAUCGUGCCUGGUGCGGUCUUGAGCUACCGGUCGCCGCUGCUCGCGCCACCGACGGCCCCAGCCAACGCCCCGAGCCCUCUUUCUUUGUAAAUAAGUUGUAGAAGAAUUUUGUAAUUCGAGCUAUAAAGAAACUGUUGAUGUUCAGAUCAGUUUCUUGCAUAAGAAUGUUGUAGCAGGAUUUUGCUCUAGUCCUUCGUGUCUUGUCCAUGUUCACGUGUCCAGCGUAUUUUUUUUAAAUUAAAAAAACUUUGCCGUCUGUAAAGUUGUUAUACUGAUGGCAAAGAUCACGUUUCGG
rnacentral:rRNA from 1 species